ensembl:snoRNA
GUGAGGUGAUGAUGAAGUUUAUCCAUUCUCUGAGUGCAGCGGCACUGCCCUCCUGCAGCACCCUGGUCCCUGUUCUAGGGUCAGGGUGCUGUGUGGCCUCCAGAGAGCCCUGCAGUGUCCCAGUGUCCUACUGGGGGCUGCUGGUGCCUGUGGGUGGCUGCCUGCAGGAGGGGGGUGUCCUGUCAGGGCUGGAGCCCCCUUUGUGGGGGCUGCAUCCCCACCAAGACGAGGGAUGAUGUCUGAUCAU